rnacentral:rRNA from 1 species
CUGGAAAGCAUCGCGCUUGGCAUCUUGUUUCUUAUGUGGGCUCGGAGGACCCUUACAAAACC